GAUGAACGCUGGCGGCGUGCCUAAUACAUGCAAGUCGAGCGGAGAAUUGAAAAGCUUGCUUUUCAAUUCUUAGCGGCGGACGGGUGAGUAACACGUGGGCAACCUGCCUGUAAGAUUGGGACAACUUCGGGAAACCGGAGCUAAUACCGAAUAAUAUCAUUUCUUGCAUAAGAGAUGAUUGAAAGGUGGCGCAAGCUACCACUUACAGAUGGGCCCGCGGUGCAUUAGCUAGUUGGUGAGGUAACGGCUCACCAAGGCAACGAUGCAUAGCCGACCUGAGAGGGUGAUCGGCCACACUGGGACUGAGACACGGCCCAGACUCCUACGGGAGGCAGCAGUAGGGAAUCUUCCGCAAGGGACGAAAGUCUGACGGAGCAACGCCGCGUGAACGAGGAAGGUUUUCGGAUCGUAAAGUUCUGUUGUUAGGGAAGAACAAGUGCCGUUUGAAUAAGGCGGCACCUUGACGGUACCUAACGAGAAAGCCACGGCUAACUACGUGCCAGCAGCCGCCGUAAAAC
rnacentral:rRNA from 1 species